rnacentral:misc_RNA from 1 species
GAAAUGCGAUAAGUAAUGUGAAUUGCAGAAUUCAGUGAAUCAUCGAAUCUUUGAACGCACCUUGCGCUCCUUGGUAUUCCUUGGGGCAUGCCUGUUUGAGUAUCAUGAAAUCUUCAAAGUAAAUCUUUUGUUAACUCAAUUGGUUUCUACUUUGGUAUUGGAGGUCUUUGCAGCUUCACACCUGCUCCUCUUUGUUCAUUAGCUGGAUCUCAGUGUAUGCUUGGUUCCACUCGGCGUGAUAAGUUAUCUAUCGCUGAGGACACUGUAAAAGGUGGCCAAGGUAAAUGCAGAUGAACCGCUUCUAAUAGUCCAUUGACUUGGACAAUACUUUUAUGAUCUGAUCUCAAAUCAGGUAGGACUACCCGCUGAACUUAAGC